rnacentral:rRNA from 1 species
GACGAACGCUGGCGGCAUGCCUUACACAUGCAAGUCGAACGGCAGCGGGGGAGAAGCUUGCUUUUCCUGCCGGCGAGUGGCGAACGGGUGAGUAAUACAUCGGAACGUGCCCUGUGGUGGGGGAUAACUAGUCGAAAGAUUAGCUAAUACCGCAUACGACCUGAGGGUGAAAGUGGGGGACCGCAAGGCCUCAUGCUAUAGGAGCGGCCGAUGUCUGAUUAGCUAGUUGGUGGGGUAAAGGCCUACCAAGGCGACGAUCAGUAGCUGGUCUGAGAGGACGAUCAGCCACACUGGGACUGAGACACGGCCCAGACUCCUACGGGAGGCAGCAGUGGGGAAUUUUGGACAAUGGGCGAAAGCCUGAUCCAGCAAUGCCGCGUGUGUGAAGAAGGCCUUCGGGUUGUAAAGCACUUUUGUCCGGAAAGAAAUGGCUCUGGUUAAUACCUGGGGUCGAUGACGGUACCGGAAGAAUAAGGACCGGCUAACUACGUGCCAGCAGCCGCCGUAA